rnacentral:rRNA from 1 species
UACGGGGGGAGCAAGCGUUGUUCGGAUUUACUGGGCGUAAAGGGCGCGUAGGCGGCGCAACAAGUCACUUGUGAAAUCUCCGGGCUUAACCCGGAGCGGCCAAGUGAUACUGUCGUGCUAGAGUGCGGAAGGGGCUACUGGAAUUCUCGGUGUAGCGGUGAAAUGCGUAGAUAUCGAGAGGAAUACCUGCGGCGAAGGCGGGUAGCUGGGCCGACACUGACGCUGAGGCGCGAAAGCCAGGGGAGCGAACGGG